CUCACAGCAGAGUACCUUCUGAAGAGAGAGAUUGGGCACCUUUGUUGAGCAUUUCCAUUAUACUUGAUUUUGGAAGGUCAGACUUAAUGCAGGGACUGUAUUUUUGGGGCAGAACCUCUCCUGCCCGUGUGCUGGAUCCCACCGGCUACCUGCCCUGCCGGAAACACAAUCUGAUGGCAAGAUGUCCUGGAAGAGGGUCACACAAAUUCUGUGAUUCAAGGACUGAUACAACUGAAAGCACUUCUGGCCCCUCAGCUGUGAAGUUCAAUAUAGACAUUGAAACAAACUAACCAACAGAUUUGAUAAAUGAAAAGUAAAUUCAGAGAAGGCAUGAAUUACAAAAUUGUAGUGACAGAUCAGAAAAUCCUAUUGUAACUUCUUAGAAUAAAUAGCUGGUGAUUAACAAUUGGGUUUCUGGGCUGCUGGUUCUGCCUUUAUGUGGCUGGAGAUAAAAGUAUGAACAAUUGAUUCUUGGUGGUCCUAACAGCUAAAAGAUUGUAUACAAUUUAUGAUGAAGAUGAGGUUCUGUAGCUCUCGGUGAGCAGUUGGGGAAUGUCACCUGCCUGGUGGGAGGUCCUGACUUUGCCCACUGUUUGCUGGUGAGUAUAUUUUGCCUGCUCCCUUCAAAACUUUUGCAGUAUAAGGGAUAGUGGUGCACUAGGCAUUCUACAUUUUUUAUGCAGGUCUUUUUAUGUACAGUCACAGUGUUAGCUAUGGAGAGAAUAAAUAAUGUAUGCAUUUUGGACUCCAUGAACCCUUUCUUAUUCUCACUAUGAAUAUAAGAAUUCCUUUUCUUUUCUGCCUGUGUAAACUCAUUUGUUAGUUGAGAGGUUAGGAGAAAAAGAAUUUCGUUGUUUAUAUUGGUGUUUUUCCCCCCUGAAAUUGGAACUCUUACUUCUUACUUAGCAAUAUCAUGACUUUGGAAAUGUUCUUUAGCUUGUUUUUGAUUGUGAGCAUAACUUGUGCUCUGUGAAUUUGAUGAGUUCAGUUCAGUUUAGUUGGCUUCUGUUCAUAUCCUGUUCUAUCAGGCACUGAAGUUACAGUUGAUGUUAAAAAAGAACA